rnacentral:rRNA from 1 species
GACGAACGCNGGCGGCGUGCUUAACACAUGCAAGUCGAACGAAGAGCGAUGGAAGCUUGCUUCUAUCAAUCUUAGUGGCGAACGGGUGAGUAACGCGUAAUCAACCUGCCCUUCAGAGGGGGACAACAGUUGGAAACGACUGCUAAUACCGCAUACGAUCUAAUCUCGGCAUCGAGGAUAGAUGAAAGGUGGCCUCUACAUGUAAGCUAUCACUGAAGGAGGGGAUUGCGUCUGAUUAGCUAGUUGGAGGGGUAACGGCCCACCAAGGCGAUGAUCAGUAGCCGGUCUGAGAGGAUGAACGGCCACAUUGGGACUGAGACACGGCCCAGACUCCUACGGGAGGCAGCAGUGGGGAAUCUUCCGCAAUGGACGAAAGUCUGACGGAGCAACGCCGCGUGAGUGAUGACGGCCUUCGGGUUG